rnacentral:rRNA from 1 species
AGAGUUGAUUAUGGCUCAGGACAAACGCUGGCGGCGUGCCUAAUACAUGCAAGUCGAACGAGAAUCAGAAGCUGCUUCUGAGGAAAGUGGCGGACGGGUGAGUAAUAUGUAGGAAAUCUGCCCUUACGAGGGGGACAACAGUUGGAAACGACUGCUAACACCCCAUAGGAGGUUAGUUGAAAUACUAAUCUUUAAAGAUUUAUCGCGUAAGGAUGAGCCUGCAUCUGAUUAGCUUGUUGGUGGUGUAAUGGACUACCAAGGCGACGAUCAGUAGCUGGUUUGAGAGGAUGAUCAGCCACAAUGGGACUGAGACACGGCCCAUACUCCUACGGGAGGCAGCAGUAGGGUAAUUUUGCGCAAUGGGACGAAAGCCUGACGCAAGCAACGCCGCGUGAGUGAUGAACGCCCCUCGGGGUGUAAAACUCUGUCAGUAGGGACAAAUUUUGAUGGUACCUACAGAGGAAGCAUCGGCUAACUACGUGCCAGCCGCAGC